rnacentral:rRNA from 2 species
ACGAACGCUGGCUGCGUGCUUAACACAUGCAAGUCGAACGCUGAAGCCGACAGCUUGCUGUUGGUGGAUGAGUGGCGAACGGGUGAGUAACACGUGAGUAACCUGCCCCUGAUUUCGGGAUAAGCCUGGGAAACUGGGUCUAAUACCGGAUACGACCUCCUGACGCAUGUUGGGUGGUGGAAAGUUUUUCGAUCGGGGAUGGGCUCGCGGCCUAUCAGCUUGUUGGUGGGGUAAUGGCCUACCAAGGCGACGACGGGUAGCCGGCCUGAGAGGGCGACCGGCCACACUGGGACUGAGACACGGCCCAGACUCCUACGGGAGGCAGCAGUGGGGAAUAUUGCACAAUGGGGGAAACCCUGAUGCAGCGACGCAGCGUGCGGGAUGACGGCCUUCGGGUUGUAAACCGCUUUCAGCAGGGAAGAAGCGAAAGUGACGGUACCUGCAGAAGAAGUACCGGCUAACUACGUGCCAGCAGCCGCGGUAAUACGUAGGGUACGAGCGUUGUCCGGAAUUAUUGGGCGUAAAGAGCUCGUAGGUGGUUGGUCACGUCUGCUGUGGAAACGCAACGCUUAACGUUGCGCGUGCAGUGGGUACGGGCUGACUAGAGUGCAGUAGGGGAGUCUGGAAUUCCUGGUGUAGCGGUGAAAUGCGCAGAUAUCAGGAGGAACACCGGUGGCGAAGGCGGGACUCUGGGCUGUAACUGACACUGAGGAGCGAAAGCAUGGGGAGCGAACAGGAUUAGAUACCCUGGUAGUCCAUGCCGUAAACGUUGGGCACUAGGUGUGGGGGACAUUCCACGUUCUCCGCGCCGUAGCUAACGCAUUAAGUGCCCCGC